rnacentral:rRNA from 1 species
UACGUAGGGGGCAAGCGUUGUCCGGAUUCAUUGGGCGUAAAGAGCGUGUAGGCGGCCAGGUAGGUCGGUUGUGAAAACUGGAGGCUCAACCUUCAGACGUCGACCGAAACCACCUGGCUAGAGUCCGGGAGAGGAGAGUGGAAUUCCUGGUGUAGCGGUGAAAUGCGCAGAUAUCGGGAGGAACACCGGUGGCGAAGGCGGUUCUCUGGGCCUUACCUGACGCUGAGGAGCGAAAGCGUGGGGAGCGAACAGG